CCUACAUUUCUUUGUGUGCUCCUACAUUUCUUUGUGUGCUCCUACAUUUCUUUGUGUGCUCCUACAUUUCUUUGUGUGCUCCUACAUUUCUUUGUGUGCUCCUACAUUUCUUUGUGUGCCCCUACAUUUCUUUGUGUGCUCCUACAUUUCUUUGUGUGCUCCUACAUUUCUUUGUGUGCUCCUACAUUUCUUUGUGUGCCCCUACAUUUCUUUGUGUGCCCCUACAUUUUCCAACUUAAGGGGCACACGUGCUCCUUGUAAAAAAACAAAACAAGAAGAAAACAAAAAAGACCCACUUUAUUACAGAAUCCUGUGAAAACAAAUCGUAUUUUAGGCUAAAAGAGGGCGACGCCAUAGAGAAUGAUAGAGCACUCUUCUUUGUAUCCGUCCCAUUAUGGUGUCUGUUAGAGCACAGGCAGGGCCAUUUGAGGUCAACUCCAUUUUGAAGUAGUCACUUUUUGUUCUUCUACUAUUUCUAUGAGUUGGUAAACAAACUGAAAAUGUGCGUACUGCCCCCUGGAGGGUGUUGUCUGAACAGGUAUAAAGGAUGGUGAUUUACUGCCCCCUGGAGGGUGUUGUCUGAACAGGUAUAAAGGAUGGUGAUUUACUGCCCCCUGGAGGGUGUUGUCUGAACAGGUAUAAAGGAUGGUGAUUUACUGCCCCCUGGAGGGUGUUGUCUGAACAGGUAUAAAGGAUGGUGAUUUACUGCCCCCUGGAGGGUGUUGUCUGAACAGGUAUAAAGGAUGGUGAUUUUCAGCCCCCUGGAGUUAUGGAAUGUUUCCUCACGAGUAUAAUUCAUUGGCUGAUCCUUCCUGGUGUGACCUGGAUGGAAUCAUGUGAUCCUUCCUUAACCCAUAGGAAGUCCCACCCAGUUGACUACUUCAAAAUGGUGUAAGUCCUCAACAGCGCUGCCCCAUGCUCGAACUUCCUUUAGGGUAAUAGAGUCCUGAAUUUGUCUUUAUGGGCAAACACAUGUUGGUUUGAGAGACGUUCUUCU
ensembl:lncRNA